AUGCCGAUUCUGGAGAAGCUUCCUUGUCUUGUGGUGUUGAAGCUAGAGGGUUAUCAAGGCACAACAAUGUCCUGCUCUACCCAAGGAUUUCCUCAAUUACGAGAGUUAGAACUUCAUUUGUCUGACAAUUUCACUGAGUGGAGCAUGGAGGACGGAACAAUGCCAAAGCUCUCUUACCUGAAACUUCAUGACUUCAAGCGGAUGAGUAGGCUCCCCGAGGGGUUGUUACACCUUCCCUCCCUCAAGUGUCUGAAUAUGGACGACAUGCCCUUGAUCUCCGGAGAAGACAGCACAAUGAAGGAGCUGCAACAGAAAGGGUGCCAGGUGCAUCUGGAAUGA
rnacentral:rRNA from 1 species